CAAAGGUCACGUAGUCUGUUGGUUGCAGUAACCUAAGUAGCACUAUAAGAUUCUGAGUUCAAAUCUCCAUAACAGUGAAUUUGUUCAAAUUAGAGCAAUCCUAAUGCAAGUCAUGAGUCAUGAUUUCUCUAUUAUUUACGUCAUGAAAUAACUGUAACGGAUAUUACUCUUAUAAUAUUCAACCACGUGAAAUUCAUAUUUAAAUUUAAUAUUACUUAUCUUUCAUUAUUUGGUCCCAGAAAUUCAACAUACUUAUAAUAUACUACCUCCAUCU
rnacentral:lncRNA from 1 species